rnacentral:rRNA from 1 species
GAUGAACGCUGGCGGCGUGCCUAAUACAUGCAAGUCGAGCGAACGGACGAGAAGCUUGCUUCUCUGAUGUUAGCGGCGGACGGGUGAGUAACACGUGGAUAACCUACCUAUAAGACUGGGAUAACUUCGGGAAACCGGAGCUAAUACCGGAUAAUAUUUUGAACCGCAUGGUUCAAAAGUAAAAGACGGUCUUGCUGUCACUUAUAGAUGGAUCCGCGCUGCAUUAGCUAGUUGGUAAGGUAACGGCUUACCAAGGCAACGAUGCAUAGCCGACCUGAGAGGGUGAUCGGCCACACUGGAACUGAGACACGGUCCAGACUCCUACGGGAGGCAGCAGUAGGGAAUCUUCCGCAAUGGGCGAAAGCCUGACGGAGCAACGCCGCGUGAGUGAUGAAGGUCUUCGGAUCGUAAAACUCUGUUAUUAGGGAAGAACAUAUGUGCAAGUAACUGUGCACAUCUUGACGGUACCUAAUCAGAAAGCCACGGCUAACUACGUG